GCGGGGCAUGUGGGCGUGGCUAUGGACGCCCUGUUUCAAAAGCUAAAAGCCUGAUACACAUACUGUCAUUUCAGGACUAACCGCUACUGUCAUCUCAUUUUCGGAACCCUGUGGCUUAAACAUAUAUGGAUUUUUAUGGGCUUCAGAGCAAGGAAACCACAGAUGAAACCUACAGCCACACUGGCGAGAUAACCAGGCGGAAAAGUUUGCCACUUCCAAACAAGCGGCUGCCGCAGGCUUAGCGUUUGAACUCUGCAGAACAUCUGCUCCUGCUGCUCCCUGAAGUCAUCAGGCUGGAGAACCAGCAGGAACACAUGAGGUCCUGGAUCAGAGACGUCCACCAACUCUUUUACGAAGUCAUCAUACGAAGCUCCACUCGUCAUGUCGUUGGGUCGCAGAUCUGGAGUGUUAAUGAGCACCAAGUUUCCUUCAAGCUACCCUCAGUUCUGACACUGCAAGAGAAGAAGAGACACCGUCCUUAAGACAUGGAAUUAAAGCACACAUCCUUAACAUCUUCACUUGAUGGGCAGACAUGUUGUUGUUUUCAAGUCAACAAAAAGUCAUCAACAUAUCACAAACCAAAAAAAGAAAGAAAGAAAAGAAAAAAUAGAGUGCCAGACACAGUACAUGAACUGGUUUAACUCACUUGAUGGUGGCAGAACCUCCAUGCUGCUGACCCGCUUCAUGCUACCAGCAGGGUUGACUAAAAUAAACAGAGAGAGAAACAAUUGAAAUCACUCUUAAGGUCAAAGUUCAAUAAAAUAAAUGUUUUCUCUGUUCACAUAUGUAACUUGGCUUAAAUAGGAUGCUGUGAUGACACAAACCAAACAGCAGGCUUCCCAUCUACGUAUAUAUAUAUAUAUAUAUAUAUAUAUAUAUAUGUGUGGCCACGAUGCACAACCUGGCCUUCAUCACCACAGAAGGCCGUUUAUAAACUGGGGAACAUCUCUUCCACCAUGACAGUGGGUCCAACGUGCGAGGUAGGUGUUCCUCUGCUAAGUAACCCCUCACCUCCAUUAUGAGGUCUGAUGUAGUUGAUGUUGUUCCAGGCCUCCUACUUUUCAUUCUCUCAUCAAAACAUUGCACUUGUGCUGACUGCAGCACCACCUCUAUCUCUGCAUUAUACACAAUAACAAAGCAUGUCAUGGGUCAGCUGAUCGGUCCGUGCACGUUAUGUUUUUUCCGGCUUUUUCGGGGGCGUUUGAGUUCUCGAUUUUCAUUUGAAAUCCGAAGCAAAAAAAUCUUGAAAUUUUUGUUCGAAUUCCGAUUUGUUCGUUGUCAGGGACGUUUGAAAACAGGGGUACCGCUGUAAGAGGAAUAAGAUUUAUCAAUAUUGAGCAUGUUGUCACAUCCGUGAACUGCUGUGGUGCAACAGUUGAUGCUCAUGUUACUACUUACCUUUCAGCACUCACUUCAGUGACUACCUCUUCAUAGGGUUGAGAGGCAUUAAUGAGUGCCAGAAUGGAGAUGAGAGGGUUUUUCACCUCAAUAAAUUGCUGCAACAUGUAAAAUGUCGAAUUCCACCUUGUGACCACAUCCUGCUUCAGACGCAGUUGCUCUUCACCCAUCUGCUGUUGUGCUGCUUUUAGUUUGUCUGAAGCAACUGUGCUUCUGUGAAAGAAUUCAACAGUUGCCCUGACCUUGGACCUCCUUCAGUGCAGCCCUUACUAUGAGAGUCAACAUGUGGGGAAAAUAAGGUAUAUGAUCCCAGGGCAGGUGGUCCUUUAGAGCUGAAACAAUUUUGCUGGCACAGUAUGUGACACAACCAACUAUCUUAUCUCUCGGAUUCCAUUCCAUUGUUACACGGCUCAGCUCAUCAGCUAGGUGUGCACCAGUAACAGUCCAGGAGGUAGGUGUUCAGCUGAAAGUCCUCAAUGAAGUGACAAGUAACCUGUGCCAUGCAACUUGUCAUUGUCACAGAGGUCCAGCAGUCUGUUGUGAGACCAACAGCUGUGACACCCUUUAUUUUGUCCUUCAUGUCUGACUUUAGUUUGUUGUACAGCCCACGCAUUAAAGUGUUGGACAAAGUUUUUCUGCUGGGAUUGCUGUAGGAUGGGUCAAGAAGAUGCAUGAAUUCCCUGAAGACGUUGUCAUCCACAAGUGAAAAUGGUUGGAAGUCUUUUCACUAGAACCAUAUCCAACUGACUUUGCCUUGAAGAACUCAUGGGCCUUGUAGUAAAAGUGCUCAUGGUAGUUUGCAGCUGACUGAUUGUUGGGAGGAUAUGGAUGGUGCUAAGGAGGAUACAGAAGCUGAUCCAGAUGCUGGAGAGGAAGUGGUAAUAGCUCCAGUUGCUGCGGCGGCACCAUCAUCAUUUCUCCUGGCCUUUGCUAGCAGCUCAGUCGGAUGUGAGGUUUUUAAGUGUCUAGUUAAAUUUGAAUUAUUCCCACUUUUGGUUGAGAGCUUCUUUUUGCAAACCUUGCAUUUUGCUUCAGUGGCCGAAGUUUUAAUAAAAUGACUUCAUAUGUCGUUCCUCUUUCUUUACUGCUCAUCAUGUAUGAUUUCCUCGGGGUGUCAGCGCUGUCGCCUGAUAAGGGCUCCAAAAUAAGAUAGGCAAGUCGGACUAGCAGCUUGUU